AUCUGCCUCUAUUUACCUAAACUAAUAAACUUGGAAACCUUGCUUUGGACCCAUUUGGAAAACAUUGAAACCCAAAUCACAGGUUUCCAUGUCGUUUCUUUGGACACCUCAAGUCUGGACGGAGAGGAACAGAAUCAAAUCAAUGACAGCAAAAGGGGUGCAAGACUGGCCCUUCCUGAGGAGGCUCUGGCUUUAGAGCAUAGGAGUAUCAAUCCCUCUCCCCGCCACAACCUCCCUCUUCUGACAAUGGCUGGUGAGACUCAGAAUCCUGACUGGGGAAAACAGGGACCUCGGGCUCAGGAAGCCUGCUCACAACUCCCUCCUGGAAAAUCAGAUUUGCAAAGACAACUGUGGGCAGACAGCCACCACACUGGACCAGCCAUCUGUCCUAUCCAGAGUCAAUAGUUGCAUCAUCCUUUUCACAGACUUCUCUGCCUUCUCCAGACUUGCUACCUGGUUCAUUUUCCUAAAAAAUCACCCUGCCCAUUUUCUCCCCACUCCUCAAAAUCUUCCAAUGUUUGCCCAUUCCUCUCCACAUCAAGCAGAAACUUGGCUUUAAGAGAUGCAGUCGGCUUUCCCUCCUACCUAUCUGCGCUUCUCUCCAACUACACCCCAGCACGUGGCUUUGAUCUUAUCCUAAUUCACUGAACACUGCUCUUGUCUUGACAACGGCCCCUUACUUGUGCCCUCCCUUCUCUUUCACAUCUAGCAAACCACUGCUCUAUCUUCAAUAAUAAUAAUAAUAAUUUUGGUAUUUGUUAAGCGCUUACUAUGUGCAGAGCACCGUUCUAAGCGCUGGGGUAGACACAGGGGAAUCAGGUUGUCCCAUGUGGGGCUCACAGUCAAUCCCCAUUUUACAGAUGAGGUAACUGAGGCACAGAGAAGUUAAGUGACUUGCCCACAGUCACACAGCUGCCAAGUGGCAGAGCCGGGAUUCGAACCCAUGACCUCUGACUCCAAAGCCCCUGCUCUUUCCACUGAGCCACGCUGCUUCUUCAAGACACUUCUGAAAUCACAUCUCCUCCUAGAGGCCUUCCAUGACUAACUGUUCAUUUCCACACCCUAUUUCUCCCACUACUGUCACUUUAGCAUCACCUGAGCAAUUGAGUACUGACCCCUUUCACCAAAAUUGUGGCUUAGUGGAUAGAGCUCAGACUCGGAAGUCAGAAGGACCCAAGUUCUACCCCCAGCUCUGCCACUUGUCUUCUGUGUGACCCUGGGCAAGUUACUUUACUUCUCUGGGCCUCAGUUACCUCGUCGGUAAAAAGCAAAGACUGUGAGCCUCAUGUGGGACAGGGACUGUGUCUAACCUGAUUACCUUAUCUACGCUAGUGCUUAGAACAGUACCUGACAUAUAGUAAGCAUUUAACAAAUAGCAUAAAAGAAUGAACUUUUGUAUAUAGAUUUACACUUUAUUGCUUCCUCCUAUCUAUAAUUUAUUUUGGUCUGUUCGCCUCAGCCUUAGACUGUAAACUCCUUGAGGGCGGGGAUCGUGAAUACUAACUCUAUCAUACUUUCCCAAGCCCUCAGUACAGUGCUCUGCAAGAAGUAAGCACUCAAUUAAGUACCUUUGAUUGUGUGAAGAGCCUAGUCCCAGAACCAGCAAGAUUCCCUUUGCGUGACUUACAAGUAAAUGUAUUUCCCUUGUAUUUCUUGAGACUGCUUUUUUCCUUUCAGUUUUGUCUUCUAGGACAGAAGAGAACAGAAACUAUCCCUAAUCCCUUAGAUAAAACCAUUUCACAAGAGGCUAAGAGUUGGCCCUCAGCUUAUACUUUGGGGUAGAUAGUGAGUGUGGCAGAGAGCUGCCUGGCCUGGUCUGUUAACAGACAGGCAAGUGUCCCUUUCCCGACCCCAGAGCUGGAAAACGUUUCAGCAGACCAAGAAAGCCAGCAAGGUGCCCUAAGGAAACAUAGUCCUGGGGACCCAGUGGUCAGGGAAGGGUUUGUUUUUUUUUAAUGGUAUUUGUUAAGCAUGUCCUAUGUGCCAGGCACCAUUCUAAGCCCUGAGAUAGAGACAAGCUAAUCAGGCUGGACCCAAUCCCUGUCCCACAUGGGGCUCAAAGUCUUCAUCCCCAUUUUACAGAUGAGGGAACUGAGGCACAGAGAAGUUAAAUUGUCCAAGGUCACACAGCAGACAGGUGGCAGAUCUGGGAUUAGAACUCAAGUCCUUCUGAUUCCCAGGGCAGUGCUCUAUCCACUAAGCCAUGCUGCUUCUGAAUUCUGACAGUUAAUUCUGAUGGCCGAGCAGGUAGGCUGGCGAGGAGCCCUAGGGGAGCACAGUCCUGGGGACCCAGAGGUGAGGGUAGAGAGGGCUCCAGUGGCAAGCAGGAAGGCCGAUGAAGAGCCCUAGGGGAG
rnacentral:lncRNA from 1 species